AGGCUGAAACUCAAAGGAAUUGACGGGGACCAGCACAAGCGGUGGAGCAUGUGGUUUAAUUCGAAGUAACGCGAAGAACCUUACCAGGUCUUGACAUCCUUUGACCACUCUAGAGAUAGAGCUUUCCCUUCGGGGUCAAAGUGACAGGUGAAACAUGGUUGUCGUCAGCUCGUGUCGUGAGAUGUUGGGUUAAGUCCCGCAACGAGCGCAACCCUUAUUACUAGUUGCCAGCAUUUAGUUGGGCACUCUAGUGAGACUGCCGGUGACAAACCGGAGGAAGGUGGGGAUGACGUCAAAUCAUCAUGCCCCUUAUGACCUGGGCUACACACGUGCUACAAUGGAUGGUACAACGAGUCGCAAGGUCGCGAGGCCAAGCU
rnacentral:rRNA from 1 species